AGCUCUACCUUAGUUUUUUUGUUAAACUGAACAAGACCUCAGACUUAAGAGCUAUUCGAAUAAGGCACAGCUUAUUUGAAACAGGACACAACCUACGACAUAGGGUAACCAAGAGUGACUUAAAUAAAGUGGGCCUAAAAGCAGCCAUCUUUAAAAAAGCGUUAAAGCUUAACUACCCCUCACUCACAAUACCUAAAGCCCUCACUAACCCCUCAUCACUAUUGAACAGCUUUAUACUCAUAUAAAAGCUAUUAUGCUAGAACUAGUAACAAGAAACUGCCUUUCUCCUAAAUAUAAGUAUAUACCAAAAUAAACUCUGUUGGUUAUUAACGUAAAUGCUAAACUAUAGUAACACCCACUAGAAAACCCUAUAACUCCUAACGUUAACCUUACACCAGAACAUUCCAGGAAAGAUUAAAAGAAAAAGAAGGAACUCGGCAAAUCAUAGCCUCGCCUGUUUACCAAAAACAUCGCCUCUUGCAAAACAUAAGAGGUCCAGCCUGCCCAGUGACAAAGUUCAACGGCCGCGGUACCCUAACCGUGCGAAGGUAGCAUAAUCACUUGUUCUUUAAAUGAGGACUCGUAUCAACGGCACUACGAGGGCUAUACUGUCUCCUUUUUCCAAUCAGUGAAACUGAUCUCCCCGUGAAGAAGCGGGGAUCAAAAUAUAAGACGAGAAGACCCCAUGGAGCUUUAAACUCUCUGUACACUUCUGUGUUCCUACAUCAUUAGACAUAAGAAAUCUGCACACUAGUUUUAGGUUGGGGGGACCACGGAGUACAAUUUAACCUCCAUAACAAAUGGGCUAAUUACCCUUAUCCACGAGACACACCUCUAAGAAUUACUAAACUAAUGCUUAUGACCCGAUAUUCGAUCAAUGAACCAAGUUACCCUGGGGAUAACAGCGCAAUCUACUUCAAGAGCUCAUAUCGACAAGUAGGUUUACGACCUCGAUGUUGGAUCAGGGUAUCCCGGUGGUGCAGCCGCUACUAAUGGUUCGUUUGUUCAACGAUUAAAACCCUACGUGAUCUG
rnacentral:rRNA from 1 species